rnacentral:lncRNA from 1 species
GAUCUGCUGCUUAUCACUAAAUUGACUCUGACGAUGGUGGCCGGCAAGGCCCUGGCCUGAGGGAGCUCUGAGAUCCACGUGGCUGCCUCUGACUACUGCUCAUCCACGUGAUGCCAAACACUUUCCACAAGUGACCUUUACUCCUUCCUUUAUUGCUGCAAGGAUGACAUCGGCCAGCACACCGAACAUCUGGUAGAGCCCAGAAGCCUCAUUCACGCGCCGCACGAUGGAGCUGGUCAGCUGUGUGAUGGGGAGCUUGGUGGCGGGCCAGGUGACGCUGUGGUGGCGGUGCUCCAGGAGCCGGUGAACAGCACGCACUGGAACAGCCAGAGGGAGGAACGGCAUGCUGCACUUACCAUUUUAUCUCUGGUCACCCAGGCCUCAUCGACCCCUGAGAACGCCAUACACGCUGGUCUCCAUGGCCCAGCGCAAAUGCGUAGGUGGUGAACAC